rnacentral:rRNA from 1 species
AAUCAACGCUGGCGGCGUGCCUAACACAUGCAAGUCGCACGAGAAAGGGGAGCAAUCCCUGAGUAAAGUGGCGCACGGGUGAGUAACACGUGACUAACCUACCCUCGAGUGGGGAAUAACCUAGAGAAAUCUGGGCUAAUACCGCAUAACACUUACGAGUCAAAGCAGCAAUGCGCUUGAGGAGGGGGUCGCGGCAGAUUAGCUAGUUGGCGGGGUAAUGGCCCACCAAGGCAAUGAUCUGUAUCCGGCCUGAGAGGGCGCACGGACACACUGGAACUGAAACACGGUCCAGACUCCUACGGGAGGCAGCAGUGGGGAAUUUUGCGCAAUGGGGGAAACCCUGACGCAGCAACGCCGCGUGGAGGAUGAAAUCCCUUGGGAUGUAAACUCCUUUCGAUAGGGAAGAUAAUGACGGUACCUAUAGAAGAAGCCCCGGCUAACUUCGUGCCAGCCGCCGCAGUAA